GGACAUAGCUCAGCGGUAAGGCAGCUGCUUUGCAUGAAGAAGGUCCCAGGUUCAAGCCUUGGCAUGACCU